AAUUUGUAUUAAUUAAUUAUCUCUGUUAGUAAGGAUUGCAAAUAAGAAAUUAACAUAAUAAUAUUUCAAGAGACCAUAGACAUUUGAUUCAACAGGUGAGGUUAUGCUCGAUAGCUGUACCAGUCUGAAGUUUCCAAAUCAAUAAACCGUAAGUACAGUUAAGUUGCGAACGUUGGUAACAAUCAAUCAAAAAAAUAUCUUAGUUAUCGGACACAAAUUUGGAAGGCAAGGUUAUUUCGAAGAAAAUAUUCAUAUUCUUUCUUCUCCCUUUAUUGUGUGUGAAAACUACAUUGUGUGGAUUGGAAAUGUUAUGUUAAUAUAUUUUUCAAGAAUUCUACCAAACAUAUGUUAUCAGAUUUGGAUUAAAUAAAUUCUAACAUAAUGAGGCAUUAUGGUAAUGUUAGGGUUUCGCUUUGUAAUGUAACAAUUAAUCACGAGUUACGUGAAAUAAACCUUUCAUCAAUCAUCUAAGAAAAACUCGCAGUUUUCAGCUUUAUAAUCAGGAAUGAAUGGUGGACAAGAAAGGGUGCAUGCAGUUGCUGAGAAAAAAAUUGUGCUGUAUUUCGAGGCUACAGCCAGAUGUAUCUCUCCAGUCCUGAUAUUUGGUACUUUUAGACUUAAGUGUGAGAGAGAGAUAGAGAAAUGAAUUAUAGAUAAUCUUUACACGGUGUAUCUUAAUUUGUUUCCAAUGUUGUUAUGAUUCACUCGAUAAUCAUAUCAUUUUGCAUUAAAAAGGAAACAGAACCUUUAAUCCCAGAAAAAAUAUUCCAAGACAUAGCUGUAGGAUUUUUUCGUUAUAACUUUUCUCCGUCUCAUUCUCUCGAUUUAUCCUAAGGCUUAAAUAUUUACACAUUUUAUGUCGCUUCCGCAUGUAAUGCUCUUGUUUUCAAGAGAUUGAUCUCCAAAGUAACAUUUUAGAAGAUUAAGGAGUUUAAGAUCAACGAUCGGGAUUACUUAAUUACAAAAUGAACAGAUAAGUUUUUAUUAAUAAUUAGAUCUACCACGAUCGUAACACAUCGAGUGUAAUUAGUUAAUUAUAAUGUAAAUACAACAUUAUUGUGCGUUAUUCGACUCAAAUCGGUAAAUGCCAUGUUUUCAAAUUUGAAAUUUAACUAGCAGUUAUUACAUAAAAAAGUGUAGUUCAAGAGAAACAUAAAAUUGAAAUCAUCACCAGAAUUAAAAAUGUAAACUAAAAUCUUCCUACCGACUAAUACAAGAAGAGAAGUGGAGUUGAAAAGAAAAGUAACAAUAAACUGCUUUAAAUAGUAACACAGCAGAAAACACAUGUAUAUCAGAUAUACACUUCAUGCAGAAGAUAUGAGUAAGCCAGCAAUAAGGCACAACGUAGCAAAUAGAGCAAAGCCAUCAUUAAGUAAGGAUGAAAAUAUUUGCUGAAUAAACAGUCAAUGCAGAAAUAGAAUUCCAAAAUCAUGGUUACGCUCAACAUACUCUUUUUAAAACAAAAUUGACAGAAAUCCAAUCUUAUGCGAUAUUGGACUUCACUAGAAAGACAUUAAAUUAAAUAUUUUUAUCAAUGACGACACACAUCGUGAAAUCAUGAAGGUGACGAUCUUGGUGUUAGAAGAAAAUAUAAUGCAAAAAUAAAAACAAUAAAGAAAAUACAGUCGUUAUUUUCCUGAAAAUUUACAGAAGUGUUUCAGAACAGUAUGUAUACAAGUGGUACAUUUCCAUACAUGUCUAUUCACCGUCUUAAUAUCUGAAAUCACUCCUAAGACUAUCUUCUUCAAAGAAAUCAAAAAUACAUAUUCAUACACUUUAAGUAUUCCAACUUUGCAUCAACAUUUCAUUUCAAUCAACAUUCAAUAAUAACUGCACACAGGUCUCGUUCGUUCGGUGAAAUGCUAUGACCCUACAGAAGAUAGAAAGAGUGGGGCGGAGGCCAAUUCUGUUCCCCUUUCCAUUACCAAAGUUUGUUUUUAGGGGUAGAGUAAUUAGCAAGGAUGAGACAUAGUUGAUGGGGAAAUACCCUCUUUCUAUUUACGUUACUUAAUUUUCUUAUUAAAGGCUAAGCAAUCGCGAUCUUGUGUAAAUGCAUGGGCAGCGGUCACUUCGCCAUUUUAGCGAAUUCAAGCAGCCGCAUGCACCGCCGCAGCUUCUAUAUAAAAUCUCAAUAUUUUCAUGUUUCUGUACUCAUAAUCAUUCCGCAUAACAUCUCCAUACUCUAUACCACACUAAUCUUUUGCUUCUCAAUUUCACACUAUGCACUGCAUUGGAUAUGUAAAGAUAAAUUAUCAAAUAACAAUUUGGAACAAAAUGAUUAUUUUUUUUACAAUAUUUUUGAUGU